UGGCUUUCCUAGCAAAGUAGCAGCUUCCAAAGUCAUUGAAUGGGCUGAAAAAACUGGAAAUGGGAAGAAAAAGGUGAAUUACAAGUUGAGGGAUUGGCUUUUUGCUCGGCAGCGUUAUUGGGGGGAACCUAUCCCGGUUGUUUUCUUGGAGGAUACUGGUGAGGGUGUUCCACUUCCUGAAGCUGAUUUGCCCCUUAAAUUACCCGACUUGGAUGAUUUCACUCCCACAGGGACGGGAGACCCGCC
rnacentral:misc_RNA from 1 species